GACAGAGGUGCCGAGCGUUAGGCGGAAUCACUGGGCUUAAAGCGUGUGUAGGCGGGUCCGUCAGUACCUUGUGAAAUCCCACGGCUCAACCGUGGAACUGCUUGGUAUACUGCGGGUCUUGAGCCACCUAGGGGCAAGCGGAACAAGCGGUGGAGCGGUGAAAUGCGUAGAUAUCGCUUGGAACGCCAAUGGUGAAAACGGCUUGCUGGGGGUGUGCUGACGCUGAGACACGAAAGCCAGGGGAGCAAACGGG
rnacentral:rRNA from 1 species